GGGCCCGCACAAGCAGUGGAGUAUGUGGUUUAAUUCGAAGCAACGCGAAGAACCUUACCAGGGCUUGACAUCCCACGAAUAGUUUAGAGAUAGGCUAGUCCUUCGGGACGUGGAGACAGGUGGUGCAUGGUUGUCGUCAGCUCGUGUCGUGAGAUGUUGGGUUAAGUCCCGCAACGAGCGCAACCCCUGUGGUUAGUUGCCAGCAAGUAGAGUUGGGCACUCUAGCCAGACUGCCGGCGAUAAGUCGGAGGAAGGUGGGGACGACGUCAAAUCAUCAUGCCCUUUAUGUCCUGGGCUACACACGUACUACAAUGGCCGCAACAAUGGGAAGCCAAGGAGUAAUCCGGAGCAAAUCCCCAAAAGCGGUCCCAGUUCAGAUUGUGGGCUGAAACCCGCCCACAUGAAGGCGGAAUUGCUAGUAAUGGCAGAUCAGCAUGCUGCCGUGAAUACGUUCCCGGGCCUU
rnacentral:rRNA from 1 species